rnacentral:rRNA from 1 species
UACAGAGGGUGCGAGCGUUAAUCGGAAUUACUGGGCGUAAAGCGCGCGUAGGCGGCUUUGCAAGUCGGGUGUGAAAUCCCCAGGCUUAACCUGGGAACUGCAUUCGAGACUGCAUUGCUAGAGUAUGGGAGAGGGAAGUGGAAUUUCCGGUGUAGCGGUGAAAUGCGUAGAUAUCGGAAGGAACAUCAGUGGCGAAAGCGGCUCACUGGUCCAUUACUGACGCUGAGGUGCGAAAGCGUGGGGAGCAAACAGG